rnacentral:rRNA from 1 species
AGAUUUCCAGUACUCAGCAGCCUAGCAGUGGUGCUAUUUCUGGAGAUGUUUGCUUGUGUGGACCAGAUUAUGGACAUGGUGGACCGGUUUAAGAUGACAAGGUUGCCAUCGUGGGAAAUGGUGAGCUCAACUGAGGUCGUGUUCUUGACUGGGUUAUCCCUAUUUCCAACCCAUGCUGGAGUGAAUUUAGGGACUGCGUUGAACCAUAUGCCAAGGUACCAGUUGGUGGUGCCUUCGGUCUGGAAGAAGCCGAGCGCGUACCUGCCAUUGCCGGAGAUGAGCUUGUCGUUGACGGCAAGUGAUUGGCCGGCCAAGAUGGUGUCCGUCGCUGCAGAGUUUGCUGGGGUGUGGAUGCAGGAGAGCAGGGUGAAAACAAUUAGGAAGGGCGGCAUGGUGAACGGUGGUGAGGGCGCGCAGACUACUGCAGAAUCGUGUUGUGCAGAGGCUGCAAAUAUAGGCUGGUGCUCAGCUCGGUCAUAG